UAGACCUAAACGACGUAAGCCCUACCUCUCUUACAUCCUUACGGCUCCGAAGCCGAUCCAGUGUGAAUAGUUUUACUUUUAAAACA
rnacentral:sRNA from 1 species